CGUCAACGAAUGCAAGGUGGAACAAAGUAUAACCGAAAGAACCGCGUUUUUCUGUGCAAUUGGAAUGAUGAGGAUCCUGGAAAACAUUCACGACUGUGGCAUUAUUCAUGGUGAUGUCAAACCAGAUAAUUUCGUUGUUCUCGAAGACAAUGUUGGCAGCGAUGAAGAAUUAUGCCGACUUGGAUUGAUCGAUUUUGGAUGUGCCAUUGAUCUGGAGCUAUUCCCCCGGGUACGCGUUUCAGUGUUGGCAAAAAUACUGAGUCAUUCGAAUGCAUUGAAAUGAGAACUCAAAGACCUUGGACAACUCAGGUGGACACUUACGGCAUGCUAUGCAGUUUACAUUGUCUGAUAUUUGGUGAUUACAUGAAGGUUUACCAAGAAACGACGACUGGUCGUUGGAAGACUACGAAAUCCUUU